AGCCAAAAAUCUAGCCCAACCACUAACACCUCCCCCCCCCCCACUUAUCCAUACACAAUAAAACAUUUUAAAAAUCUAGUAAAGGCGAUAGAAAAAUUAAUUGGAGCUACACAAGCAGUACCGUAAGGGAAAGAUGAAAUAAAAAUGAAAUAAACUCUUAAGCACAAAACAGUAGAGACCUCAACUCGUACCUUUCGCAUCAUGGUUUAAUUAGUCUUAAUCAAGCAAAAAGAAUUUAAGUUUGAUCCCCCGAAACUAAGCGAGCUACUCCAAGGCAGCUUCAUGAGCCAACCCGUCUCUGUGGCAAAAGAGUGGGAAGACCUUAGAGUAGAGGUGACAGACCAAACGAGCCUAGUGAUAGCUGGUUGCCUAAUAAAAGAAUUUUAGUUCUUACUAAAGCUACAAAAAUCUCUAUUAAAUAAACCUAAUAGCUUUAGAGCUAUUCAAAUAAGGUACAGCCUAUUUGAAACAGGACACAACCUAAACUAAUGGGUAAUCAAUUAUAACCACAAGCAAGUUGGCCUAAAAGCAGCCACCUUUAAAACAGCGUCAAAGCUUAUCUGUUAAUAAACACUCAAUAACACUAAUGAACAAAAACCCUUUAUCACCACCAGGCAAUUCUAUAAUACUAUAGAACCUAUUAUGUUAAAACUAGUAACAAGAAGUAGACACUUCUCUUAAAUGCAAGCAUAAAACAGUAAGGACAAACCACUGUUAAUUAACACACAUGAUAUUAAAUUAGCAACAUCACAAGAAAACCCUAUUUAAAAUAACGUUAACCUAACACAAGAGCAUUUAAAGAAAGAUUAAAAAAAAAAGAAGGAACUCGGCAAACAUCAACCCCGCCUGUUUACCAAAAACAUCGCCUCUUGACAAAUAAUAUAAGAGGUCCAGCCUGCCCAGUGACUCAGUUCAACGGCCGCGGUAUCCUAACCGUGCGAAGGUAGCGUAAUCACUUGUUCUUUAAAUGAGGACUAGUAUGAAUGGCAUCACGAGGGUUACACUGUCUCCUUUUUUUAAUCAGUGAAACUGAUCCCCCCGUGAAGAAGCGGGGAUUAAUAUAUAAGACGAGAAGACCCUAUGGAGCUUUAAAUAAGUUAACACUUGUUUCAACCACUUCACCUUUCAGAAGCCCCCCCAUAAAAAGUAUAACAUUAUGAUUACAAAUUUUAGACUGGGGUGAUCACGGAGUAAAAAAUAACCUCCAUGCUGAAAGGUAAAAAUUCCUGAGCAAAAACCCACAACUUAAUGCACUAAAAAAUUAACAUAUAAUUGACCCAAUAUUUUGAUCAACGAACCAAGUUACCCUAGGGAUAACAGCGCAAUCCACUUUAAGAGCCCCUAUCGACAAGUGGGUUUACGACCUCGAUGUUGGAUCAGGGUACCCCAGUGGUGCAGCCGCUACUAACGGUUCGUUUGUUCAACGAUUAAAACCCU
rnacentral:rRNA from 1 species